CUACGGGAGGCAGCAGUGGGGAAUAUUGCACAAUGGGCGAAAGCCUGAUGCAGCGACGCCGCGUGCGGGAUGACGGCCUUCGGGUUGUAAACCGCUUUCAGCAGGGAAGAAGCGCAAGUGACGGUACCUGCAGAAGAAGCACCGGCUAACUACGUGCCAGCAGCCGCGGUAAUACGUAGGGUGCGAGCGUUGUCCGGAAUUAUUGGGCGUAAAGAGCUCGUAGGCGGUUUGUCGCGUCGUCUGUGAAAACCCGCAGCUCAACUGCGGGCUUGCAGGCGAUACGGGCAGACUUGAGUACUGCAGGGGAGACUGGAAUUCCUGGUGUAGCGGUGAAAUGCGCAGAUAUCAGGAGGAACACCGGUGGCGAAGGCGGGUCUCUGGGCAGUAACUGACGCUGAGGAGCGAAAGCGUGGGUAGCGAACAGGAUUAGAAACCCUAGUAGUCC
rnacentral:rRNA from 1 species